CUGGGUGUGUCCACAUAUAAAUAAUAAAACCAAACACAAGUUUUCCUGUCGCAGAAAGACUUCCAAUCGCUCAAGGACCACAAGGAGCUCUCCUGUCAGUGAGUAAACGAAACAAUGGCAUCUCCAAGCCCCCUAGCUCAGGCCAACACCAAAUUCUCUCUGGCUUUGUUCAAGAACCUUGGCGAUAAUGACAAGACAGCAAACCUCUUCUACUCCCCCUUCAGCAUCUCUUCUGCCCUGGCUAUGGUGAUGCUGGGGGCGAGGGGCAACACAGAAGCGCAGAUGUCAGAGUGUCUGAAAACCGAGGCUUGUAAGGCUGAAGUCCACUCUGACUUUGGUCAGCUGCUGAGUGAGCUGAACAAAUCAGACGCUCCGUACGCCCUCAGUGUUGCCAACAGACUCUAUGGAGAGCAGUCCUACCAGUUUGUUCAGGAGUUCUUGGGAAAAACCAGGAAGCACUACAACGCUGAGCUGGAAUCUGUGGACUUCAUCACUGACUAUGAAAAAGCCAGAUUCAACAUCAACAGCUGGGUGGAGAAACAAACACAAGGUAAAAUUAAGGAUGUGCUGGCCCAGGGUGUGGUGGACGACAUGACCAGGUUGGUGCUGGUCAAUGCCAUCUACUUCAAGGGCAAGUGGAACAAGCAGUUUAAGGAGAGCUCCACACGUGAUGCUCCAUUUAGAGUCAACAAGAAUGAAACCAAGUCCGUGAAGAUGAUGUACCAGACAACUGAGUUUCCUUUGAAGUCCAUCCCCGAAGUGAACUGCAAGAUCCUAGAGAUGCCCUACAAAGGCAAGGAGCUCAGCAUGCUCAUCUUCCUCCCCAAUGACAUGGAGGACAGUACUACAGGCCUGGAGAAGCUGGAGAAGGAGCUGACCUAUGAGAAGUUUGUGGAGUGGACUCGUCCAGACAGGAUAUAUGAAGUUGAGGUCCAGGUGGGUCUGCCUCGAUUCAAGAUGGAGGAGAAGUACGACAUGAAGAAGGUCCUGGUCAGCAUGGGCAUGGUGGACGCCUUUGACAUGGGAAAGAGUGACUUCUCUGGCAUGUCUCCUGUCAAUGACCUGGUGCUGUCUGAAGUCAUCCAUAAGGCUUUCGUGGAGGUCAACGAGGAGGGAACUGAGGCUGCUGCUGCCACCGUUGCUACCUAUGUUGAUUGUUCCUACACACCUCCAGCCAAAUUCAUCGCAGACCACCCCUUCCUCUUCUUCAUCCGACACAACCCUUCCAUGAGCAUCCUCUUUGCUGGCCGAUACUGCUCCCCUGAGUGAGAGCGUCGUUGUUUAGAGCAGGUUUUCCCAACAGAGGGAGGUUACAACACAUAUAAUCUGCAAUAGUGUAACGUUUUAUUCUGCAUCACUGGAAGAAUGUUGAGAAUAAUCGCUCUACAGUUUCUUGUCGCUAAUCACACCCUGAGUUCCCGUCCAAUGUUUCCAACACCAGGAUUAUGAGUAAAAACGAUGGUGUUGGAUCUUCUAAACCUGAUCUCUCUCAUUUGUGUCUCUUCUCAUAUAAAUGAUUGUGAAUUUGUCCUGUGCCUUCCUGAACAUUCAGCUCUAGCACUGUUUAGGCUAAUCUCAUCCUUUACUUUAUGUCUGCAAUGCACGUAUGGUCCUGUUUGCUGCAGUCUUACUCUACUGUGGUUCAUCUCUCCAUAUUGUUUAGUUUAUCCUGCACCUUACAUCCUUUUAAUGAAUUUAACUUUAAAUUGUCCCUUUUUCACCCAGCAGCUCAGACAUCAACUGUACCUUUUGGCUGCAAUGUUCUCUGUACUUUAUCUACAUAACAAGCAAUUAUAUCGUUCUGUUACAUUUAACUGUGCCUUUAUGCAUAUAAUAAAAAUGGAUUAAAAAUAAGAACUUACAUGAAGGUUUGAACUGGUUUUGAGUCCAGGUCCUUUUGGUGUAUCCCUGUGUUUUUAAAUAUGGAAUAAAAGUGUGUGGUUUGCAAAUAUUGUAUGUCACAUUUAAAAAAAAGUUUUUACUGAUAUUUUCUCUGAUGUAAUUUUAAAAACAGUGGAGUUUAUAAUGUAGUUUAAUCAUGUAGAAGAGCUAAUAUCACACUGGAUUUCACUGUAGAAGUGAUUUUAGUUCUUCUUUACAACAAACUGUUUUCAUCAUGUAUCACCUAAAGGCCUUUUUAAUCUUUAAAACACUACAUAAAUUUCAGUCAGUAACUCUUUUCUGA